rnacentral:rRNA from 1 species
GAUGAACGCUGGCGGCGUGCCUAAUACAUGCAAGUCGAGCGAACAGACGAGGAGCUUGCUCCUCUGACGUUAGCGGCGGACGGGUGAGUAACACGUGGAUAACCUACCUAUAAGACUGGGAUAACUUCGGGAAACCGGAGCUAAUACCGGAUAAUAUAUUGAACCGCAUGGUUCAAUAGUGAAAGACGGUUUUGCUGUCACUUAUAGAUGGAUCCGCGCCGCAUUAGCUAGUUGGUAAGGUAACGGCCUACCAAGGCAACGAUGCGUAGCCGACCUGAGAGGGUGAUCGGCCACACUGGAACUGAGACACGGUCAAGACUCCUACGGGAGGCAGCAGUAGGGAAUCUUCCGCAAUGGGCGAAAGCUUGACGGAGCAACGCCGCGUGAGUGAUGAAGGUCUUCGGAUCGUAAAACUCUGUUAUUAGGGAAGAACAAAUGUGUAAGUAACUAUGCACGUCUUGACGGUACCUAAUCAGAAAGCCACGGCUAACUACGUG